rnacentral:rRNA from 1 species
AGAGUUUGAUCCUGGCUCAGGACGAACGCUGGCGGCGUGCCUAAUACAUGCAAGUAGAACGCUGAAGAGAGGAGCUUGCUCUUCUUGGAUGAGUUGCGAACGGGUGAGUAACGCGUAGGUAACCUGCCUUGUAGCGGGGGAUAACUAUUGGAAACGAUAGCUAAUACCGCAUAACAAUGGAUGACACAUGUCAUUUAUUUGAAAGGGGCAAUUGCUCCACUACAAGAUGGACCUGCGUUGUAUUAGCUAGUAGGUGAGGUAAUGGCUCACCUAGGCGACGAUACAUAGCCGACCUGAGAGGGUGAUCGGCCACACUGGGACUGAGACACGGCCCAGACUCCUACGGGAGGCAGCAGUAGGGAAUCUUCGGCAAUGGGGGCAACCCUGACCGAGCAACGCCGCGUGAGUGAAGAAGGUUUUCGGAUCGUAAAGCUCUGUUGUAAGUCAAGAACGGGUGUGAGAGUGGAAAGUUCACACUGUGACGGUAGCUUACCAGAAAGGGACGGCUAACUACGUGCCAGCAGCCGCGGUAAUACGUAGGUCCCGAGCGUUGUCCGGAUCUAUUGGGCGUAAAGCGAGCGCAGGCGGUUUGAUAAGUCUGAAGUUAAAGGCUGUGGCUCAACCAUAGUUCGCUUUGGAAACUGUCAAACUUGAGUGCAGAAGGGGAGAGUGGAAUUCCAUGUGUAGCGGUGAAAUGCGUAGAUAUAUGGAGGAACACCGGUGGCGAAAGCGGCUCUCUGGUCUGUAACUGACGCUGAGGCUCGAAAGCGUGGGGAGCGAACAGGAUUAGAUACCCUGGUAGUCCACGCCGUAAACGAUGAGUGCUAGGUGUUGGAUCCUUUCCGGGAUUCAGUGCCGCAGCUAACGCAUUAAGCACUCCGCCUGGGGAGUACGACCGCAAGGUUGAAACUCAAAGGAAUUGACGGGGGCCCGCACAAGCGGUGGAGCAUGUGGUUUAAUUCGAAGCAACGCGAAGAACCUUACCAGGUCUUGACAUCCCGAUGCUAUUUCUAGAGAUAGAAAGUUACUUCGGUACAUCGGUGACAGGUGGUGCAUGGUUGUCGUCAGCUCGUGUCGUGAGAUGUUGGGUUAAGUCCCGCAACGAGCGCAACCCCUAUUGUUAGUUGCCAUCAUUCAGUUGUGCACUCUAGCGAGACUGCCGGUAAUAAACCGGAGGAAGGUGGGGAUGACGUCAAAUCAUCAUGCCCCUUAUGACCUGGGCUACACACGUGCUACAAUGGUUGGUACAACGAGUUGCGAGUCGGUGACGGCGAGCUAAUCUCUUAAAGCCAAUCUCAGUUCGGAUUGAAGGCUGCAACUCGCCUACAUGAAGUCGGAAUCGCUAGUGAUCGCGGAUCAGCACGCCGCGGUGAAUACGUUCCCGGGCCUUGUACACACCGCCCGUCACACCACGAGAGUUUGUAACACCCGAAGUCGGUGAGGUAACCUUUUGGAGCCAGCCGCCUAAGGUGGGACAGAUGAUUGGGGUGAAGUCGUAACAAGGUA